UUACUACUCCCUCCGUCCGGAAAUACUUGUCCUAAAGAUGACUGUAUCUAGACUUAUUUUAGUUAUAGAUACAUUCAUUAUAUUCAUUUUAGGACAAGUAUUUCCGGACGGAGGGAGUAUUAG
rnacentral:pre_miRNA from 1 species